rfam:Candidatus Roizmanbacteria bacterium RIFCSPLOWO2_02_FTLL_43_10 rifcsplowo2_02_scaffold_7750, whole genome shotgun sequence.
GGGCUCGUAGCUCAGUUGGCUAGAGCGCUGCAUUCGCAUUGCAGAGGUCAGGGGUUCGAAUCCCCUCGAGUCCA